AAGCCUUUUACGCCCAGAUCUUCCAAUGAUGUCUACUCCAUUGUGGCACGAUUGUGAACACUGCUCUGCUACAGAUUAAAAUUAAAGGCCAGUCAAACCUUCAGUUAAAGAAAAUUCCUGCUGCAUGGAAAUGAAUGACAGCCAAAAACAUUAUCAUCCAGAAGAAGAAAUUCUACAAGAUACCCCAAUUUAAGAGGUUGUCCUGAACCAACAUGCCUCUGUGAAAGAUGGACAGAGUUCUCACCAAGCUGAGUAUCCACACCUAUAUGUAGAACCACAGAGGCAGCAAUAAUCAAAUGUAACAAAUAGCCACGGGCUGGGUAGCAG
ensembl:lncRNA